GACAGAGGGUGCAAACGUUGCUCGGAAUCACUGGGCGUAAAGGGCGUGUAGGCGGGAAGGAAAGUCAGAUGUGAAAUCCCUGGGCUCAACCCAGGAACUGCAUUUGAAACUCCCUUUCUUGAGUGUCGGAGAGGAAAGCGGAAUUCCUGGUGUAGAGGUGAAAUUCGUAGAUAUCAGGAGGAACACCGGUGGCGAAGGCGGUUCUCUGGGCAUGUCCUGACGCUGAGGAGCGAAAGUGUGGGGAGCGAACAGG
rnacentral:rRNA from 1 species